CGCACCCUAGCGCCACAGGUGCUUCACGCUCCCAGCAGCCGCCUCCUCGGCGUGUAUGGAGAAACGGAACCGUCGGUGGGCGCACACAGCAAGAAACGGAAAACCGAGGCAUCCAAGCGCUCCUCUCCCAUCCCCUUCCACCUCCUCCGGCCCUCCACUGAAGCGCCCCAAGGCGGAGGCAGCGCCCACGUUGCCGACGACGUCGGUGCCUGGGAGAAUCAAGGAGGAUUCGGCAGCGACCGCGUCCGCCAAGAGCGCCAGCUCGGGCGAGGAUGUGGCGGCCAAGAGAGGUGA
rnacentral:lncRNA from 1 species